rnacentral:rRNA from 1 species
UACGUAGGUGGCGAGCGUUGUCCGGAUUUAUUGGGUUUAAAGGGUGCGUAGGCGGCUCUAUAAGUCAGUGGUGAAAUAUCGCAGCUUAACUGUGAGGGUGCCAUUGAUACUGUAGGGCUUGAGUGAAUUUGAGGUAGGCGGAAUUGACGGUGUAGCGGUGAAAUGCUUAGAUAUCGUCAAGAACACCGAUAGUGAAGACAGCUUACCAAGCUUCAACUGACGCUGAGGCACGAAAGUGUGGGGAUCAAACAGG